CACUGCUGCUCAUCACCACGGGACUCGAGCACACAGUGGGACGUUCACACAAGACCUUCGCACUAAACGUUUAGGCCUUUUUAUUUUAACAGAAAACGAUCUCUGACUUUUUGUUUCUUUAGCGCCAAUUUGGAUCUAACGUCACGAGCAAGGUACAGGCGUGCCCGGGGAAGCCGAAAAGCGGUUUUAUCUGCUCUGUGAAUUCUAUCCUUCAUUCCACCGGAGUCUGUGUAGCUGUCCAAUCAGAUUUCAGUGGUGUGAAGUGUAGGAGACACGGAAAAGUUCACUUUUUUCCGCAAGCACAGAUGAGAGGUGAAACGCAUGUCAAGAACCCAGGCUUUCGAAGGCAUGCGUGGCUAGUUUUGCAUUGUAGUGUAAUUUGCCGUGUGCUUUCACCCUUGCGCGGAUCAAUGCAGGCCGUGACAGUUGUAUGCUAAACGCUGUGAAUGUUAAGCCCCGGCUGUCCUAUUGUGCAUUUAAGUGCAGCGUAUCUAAACAUCUAUGUAAAGUGUCGUACCUCACCCUGCCCUUUAGCUCACCGCUCCAGCUCCGCACAACAUGGCAUGUUUGUUCAUUUGCUGUUGUGGAGAGAGCAGAGGCGGGCUGAGCAAACACACGCACACACCCACACAUACAAGAUUCACAAAACCUGCCAAGAUGUAUUUAAGCAUGCUGGUUUAGCCUUUAUCCUCUCAACCCACACUAAUAAACUCACUUUACAAAAUGUGUUUGUGUGAAUUGCUUAAUCCUGACAAUAAACUGCUAUAAUAAAACAUAACCCUU